rnacentral:rRNA from 1 species
ACGGAGGAUGCAAGUGUUAUCCGGAAUCACUGGGCGUAAAGCGUCUGUAGGUGGUCAAAUAAGUCAACUGUUAAAUCUUGAGGCUCAACCUCAAAAUCGCAGUCGAAACUAUUCGACUAGAGUAUAGUAGGGGUAAAGGGAAUUUCCAGUGGAGCGGUGAAAUGCGUAGAGAUUGGAAAGAACACCGAUGGCGAAGGCACUUUACUGGGCUAUUACUAACACUCAGAGACGAAAGCUAGGGUAGCAAAUGGGAUUAGAUACCCAGUAGUCCUAGCUGUAAACAAUGGAUACUAGAUGUUGAACAGAUCGACCUGUGCAGUAUUAAAGCUAACGCGUUAAGUAUCCCGCCUGGGAAGUAUGCUCGCAAGAGUG